rnacentral:lncRNA from 1 species
UAUUUCUGUGUUUUUGUCCUCAGAGGACAAACUGGAGACGCUGCGUCCCGAGUUCUGCGUCUCCAGCUCUGGAGAAAUCCUGCAGGCCGGUGAUUCGUGGAAGCCGAACGCCUGCAGCAGCUGCGUCUGCCGUAAUGGGAGCGUCCAGUGCUUCUCGCAGCAGUGUCCGGCUGCCGACUGCAGGGUCCCUGUGCUGCGGAAGGGCCAGUGCUGCCCGCAAUGCAUGCUGGAGAUCACGAACACAUCAGUGCCGGUAAUGCUGUCGACGGCCGUCACCGAGAGCCGGAUCACCGCCGCUCCUCCGGUCCUCGCCGUCACCGAUGGUGAAGGUCUCUCGCGGGACGUCCCGAGCCAGACGCAGAUGACGCUCAUCUACCAAUCAGCGGCCUGGAUUCUGGCGGGAAUCCUGCUGGCUGUGGUCAUCUUCCUCCUGGUGGCCAUCCUGGUGAACCGCAGGAAGAACUGGGUUCAGAUGUCCUGCUACGGCGCGCCCAAGAAGACGGUGAUCCUGCAGAAACACGUGAAUAAGAGUUCGCUCGUUUACAUGGAGCCGUCCAGAGAGAACCAGUUCCAGAGUCUGAAGAGCGACGGCUCCGUGAGCUUCCCGACAGACGCCAGCAAAGAGCAGAUCUCUAUCCCUCGCGCUAAACUCGCCAGCGGACACGUCGAGCGCUAGCGUCCGUCUCACUCUUCAGAGGCCAGAAACUCCACCGAACGCUGGCGACUCCUGGAGCUUCGGCCUCCAGCGCAAGAACAACCAAGUACUGUGAACCGCUCGACAUCUCCCGCUUUAUUAGUGUUUGUAUGAUGUUCGGAGCGUCCGACACUUUGACAGACGUGGAGCAGUUCGGCGUCGUUCCAUGAUGGAGAAUCAAACCAAACGUUCAGGAACCAGACGGAUCUUCUGACUGCUCACAGACAUUGGUGAGAUCCAUACGGACCACAGUAAAGAGAUCUGCAUCAUAUUCUGAGGCCUUACGGCACAGACGUGUUUCCGGACCUCUCCAGUCUGUUUUUCGUUUCUAUACGUUAAAGUGUUUUACUUGUAGUUUGUUGUUAGUCGCUUAUAAGCCUCGUGACGGACUAAACAUUCCCCACGUUCAGAACCAACUCGACUUUUUAUAUCUUUUUUUUAAUGUAAUAUAUAGAUAUAUGGUAGACAUAUAAAU